AAGAUGUUAGUAAAAAUAUUACACUACUUUGUCAAAGCAGAAUAACAGAAUAACCACUGUACAUCUUC
rnacentral:tRNA from 1 species